rnacentral:lncRNA from 1 species
UGGGGACUAAAUUAGCUAUUAAAUCGAUAAAUAAUGAGUGAUUUAUUGUGUAUGGAUUGUAACAGAAAGUAUAAAUAAGAUUGUAAAAAAACUAACUGAGUAAUGAAAGUAAAAUAGGGUAUGGAUUAAAUUAUUAAAGGACAAUAAGAUAAACAGAAUGUGUAGAGAAAAAAGUUUCGUUCUAUAUAUACUCAUAGAUUACAUGUACUUUAUAUUUUCUUUUUUCAGUACAAAAAGAAAUAUAUAUAUA